rnacentral:rRNA from 1 species
GAUGAGCUGGCGGCAUGCCUACCAUGCAAGUCGAACGGCAGCGCGGGAGCUUGCUCCUGGCGGCGAGUGGCGGACGGGUGAGUAACGCGCAGGAAUCUGCCUGGUAGCGGGGGACAACUCGGGGAAACUCGAGCUAAUACCGCAUACGCCCUACGGGGGAAAGCGGGGGACCUUCGGGCCUCGCACUAUCAGAUGAGCCUGCGUCCGAUUAGCUUGUUGGUGAGGUAAUGGCUCACCAAGGCGACGAUCGGUAGCUGGUCUGAGAGGAUGAUCAGCCACACUGGGACUGAGACACGGCCCCAACUCCUACGGGAGGCAGCAGCAAGGAAUUUUGGGCAAUGAGCGAAAGCUUGACCCAGCGACACCGCGUGAGGGAUGAAGGCCUUCGGGUUGUAAACCUCUUUUCUUGGGGAAGAAUUCUGACGGUACCCAAGGAAUAAGCCUCGGCUAACUACGUGCCAGCAGCCGCGGUAAUACGUAGGAGGCGAACGUUAUUCGGAUUUACUGGGCGUAAAGGGAGCGUAGGCGGUUCAUCAAGUCAGACGUAAAAUCUUCCGACUCAAUCGGAAGGCGCCAUCUGAUACUGACGGACUUGAGAGCAACAGAGGGAAAUGGAAUCCCCAGUGUAGCGGUGAAAUGCGUAGAUAUUGGGGAGAACACCAGUGGCGAAGGCGAUUUUCCAGGUUGUUUCUGACGCUGANGCUCGAAAGCGUGGGGAGCGAAGCGGAUUAGAUACCCGCGUAGUCCACGCCGUAAACGGUGGGACACUAGAUAUGGGAG